rnacentral:lncRNA from 1 species
CUACAGAAACGUGUGCCUUAACCAGUAGUCCCGUGGGCCACUAGCCUGGGGUUGGCCUUUGACCUGAUAUGGGCUAUACUGGCUGCAGCCCUUGGAGGGAGACGUGAUCCCAUCACUCGCCUUGGCCUUUCUUGGGAACUGAGGCCUUGACUCCUUGUGUGACUCUUGCCAAAUUGCUUUGAACUGCCUGGUGUGCUUGGUAUGGCCAGCACUGAAAGCUCAAAAAUGAUGUGCCAAGCCCCAAAUCAUGAGGACCGUGUUAAUCAUUGUGCUCUCUGGUUUGCCCCUUUGCUCUGUGAAACCCUCUGCCCCACCCAGUGCAUGUGAGGAGCAGUCUGUAUAAUGCCACAUGCUCCUACGGGCAGUGUGGAAGGAAGUUUUGGCCCUGCGGUGUUGUAGGAGCUUCUGCUCUCACAUCUGUCCAGCAGUCAGUAUUGCCCCUGACCUUCAAACCAACCCUGUCUCCUCACAUAUCAGCUCUUCCCAUCUCCACCACCCCAUUAAUAUAGCUCCUGCUCAUAGAGUCAUAGGGGCAGAAGGGACCUCUCAGGUCACUGGGCCAACCCCUUGGAGAUGCAGAAUAUGCUACUGCUAAGCUACCUUAACCAAUGCUACUCCAGCCUGUUCUUGAAAAUCCUGCCCAGUGAAGGAGAAUCCUCAGCUCCCCAUUCUGACACCUGGAACUGAUGCCAGCAUGGAGCUACCCCAGCUACCUCUGCCAGCUUCACCCAUCCAGACCCUCUCCACCGCCACUAGACCAGGCCUCAGAGAGUUGUCUUGGACCCGGAAGCAUGUAACCUGCAUCCCCUGGAGCUGGGAGAGGUGUGACGCUGCUCCACCACAGGUGUCCGACUUGCAUGUGAGCAUGUGCAGAACAGGUAAUUGGCCAUGCCCAGCCCCUCCCUGCAGCCCAGGGGUUACUUUUCUCAUGCCUGCAGAUGCUAGUUUGUAUAUGCCACUGGGAGUUGGCACUGGAGUCUCUCACAUUACUGAUGGCAGAGGAAUGAGCUGAGGAAUGUGUCCCUGUCCCAUGUCUCUCUGCAAGGUGCUUUUUCUGGUUUCCUC